rnacentral:rRNA from 1 species
AUUGAACGCUGGCGGCAGGCCUAACACAUGCAAGUCGAACGAGUGGCGGACGGGUGAGUAAUGUCUGGGAAACUGCCUGAUGGAGGGGGAUAACUACUGGAAACGGUAGCUAAUACCGCAUACCAUCGGAUGUGCCCAGAUGGGAUUAGCUAGUAGGUGGGGUAAAGGCUCACCUAGGCGACGAUCCCUAGCUGGUCUGAGAGGAUGGCCACCCACACUGGAACUGGUACACGGGCGAGACUCCUACGGUAGGCAGAAGUGGGGAAUAUUGCACAAUGGGAGCAAGCCUGAUGCAGCCAUGCCGCGUGUAUGAAGAAGGCCUUCGGGUUGUAAAGUACGUUCAGCGGGGAGGCGUUACCCUCAGAAGAAGCACCGGCUAACUCCGUGCCAGCAGCCGCGGUAAUUC